UAUGUUUCCUCAGGUUGGACGAUGGGCUUUUAAAAGCAGAAAUAUCCGUAUGUUUGGGUCGACACAGAAGACACCGCAUGAUUAAACUGCUGUUUCGCACUGUUUGUAACGUAAACAAACUUUCAAUAUGAGGCCACAUGUGUGCCUCCUUGUCUUUGUUAGCAUUGCUAACCGUUUCUGCCAUUUUUUGCUGUAGUGGAUAUUGACCGCUAAACUAAUCCGUCCCGCCGCCGAGAUCGAGUAUGGUCACGUGAAGAGACUGCGCAGUAAGGGCUACGUUUCAUUGGUCACAGUCGCGUGGUAGAGCCUUGGGCGGAAGUCACUCUCUGACAAAAUAAAGACCUAUCGGUGCCGAACCACUGUUCUUCCUGCUGUUCCUCAUUUGGUCCAUGCUGAUGUAAGAUGGCCGUAGUGGACUUUCAGAAGAAGAUAAUCAAGAGCGGGAACAUCAAGAUACAGCGAGAUGAAAGGACUGUGUGAAUAACUGAUUAAGUUAAGAUGUGAGAGAGGAAGCCAACACAAAAAUAGACAUAAAAAAGCAGCUAAAGCAGCCUCCCUCUGUGACCUACAUACCUGCUAAAUCUGCUGUCAGUGGUGGUCUGCUCCUCUCUCAUCACUACCUGAAUUACUUUACAUAAUCUUUAGACUCUCCUUCACUUUCUCAGCUGCUCAUUACCUAUUGUGAUUUAAUGUAUCAGAAGCCAGACAGACAGCAUUGUAGAGGAUUGGCAAACGUGACACAAGGUGAUGUUACGCAGGACACAGUGUACUGGAGGACAGCAUUAACAUGGGGAACACCACAGCUGAAGAAAAAUGCAGGAUGCAUAAAUAAGAAGAAUGCCUUGAUGGUUUUCAGAGGGGAGGGGUCAAGGAGGAACCAGGAUCAGCCAGCUGACUGAUUCACAGUCCAAGUGAUACCUCUUCUGGGCUAAGGAUUUCCACAUGAAUCAUGGAUCACAACUGUGGUCAGUAGAAGCAUAGAAAUAUCCAGCAUAUAGCAAGUUAUAUCAAUAAUAGACACAGAAAGUCUAAUGACAGAGAACUGAGAGGUUCUUCCACAAGGAAGCCCUGUGAGUGCCAACUUAGACAUGCAGUACCACUGGUGACCAGCAGGUUCUGGCAUAAAAACAACUCUGGCUAGCAUUUCAAAGGUCUCUGAGUAAAGAUUGAGUUAAUGCAUUUUCUUGCUGUCAGUACUGGUGACAGUCUACAGAUUCACUAAUUCACAUAAUCAAUGCAGAGCGUUUCUGAAUUAAAUGUCAUAUUUAAUCAACUGUUAGCUUAAAGUCUAUAGACAACGACACCAUUUGGAUUAGUCACAGAUAACUACAGGUUAUACAAAACAGGUUAUGCUGUUAUACAAAAAGUUUCAUUAUUUUUAACACGGUUUCUCUCUAAUUCUAUCUCUAUUGAUCAUAAUUAAUAGGUGAUUAAUUCAAAUCAACAUUAAUCAUGAUUUACAGUGAUUAAUCCACUACUAUGUGAUUUAUCAGAAUACAAAUUUGUUAGUUUGUUUGACAGCACUAACUUUUAGUCUUAACACAUCAGUUGUCUAUUUGUUAACAUUGUAAACUAACUUCAUUGAUACCAUUGAUAUAUAAGUUGGCAGCAAACAUGACAUUAAACAAACCCGAUUUAAACAACAGAAUCGUACCAACGUACAUACAUAUUGUAAAUCACUUUAUGUACUUAUCACUGCAUCUCCCUGUUUUAAGCAGGAGUUAAUUCACCGACGUUAACACAGUCCUAAUUUUCUUCAUUUACAAACACGAAUACUGCUCUGAUUCACAGAGGUCUAGGAUUAAUCAGCCAGAAAGGGAUGUGAUUGAAAAUGUCACCAGUUGAAGCCUCAGGGCUGUGGCCCAUGCAUUUUUCCUAAUUGUGCUCCUAUCUGUUUGAAAACCAUGUUCUUCACUGAAAGCAGGAUAAUAAAGAUGCAGCCCACAGUGUGACAUGUCAUGGUGUGAAAGAA